rnacentral:rRNA from 1 species
UACGGAGGAUGCGAGCGUUAUCCGGAUUUAUUGGGUUUAAAGGGUGCGUAGGCGGAUCGUUAAGUCAGUGGUCAAAUUGUGGGGCUCAACCCCUUCCCGCCAUUGAAACUGGCGAUCUUGAGUGGAAGAGAAGUAUGCGGAAUGCGUGGUGUAGCGGUGAAAUGCAUAGAUAUCACGCAGAACCCCGAUUGCGAAGGCAGCAUGCCGGCUUCCUACUGACGCUGAAGCACGAAAGCGUGGGGAUCGAACAGG